rnacentral:lncRNA from 1 species
GCUUGUGUAGACAUUGGUAUAUUUUGUCAAACUAACCCCUGUAGGAAAACUUUCAUUAUCAACCUGGGAAGUCCUGAGAUACAAACUCACAUUGGAGAUAAAGAAGACACAUGAAAUUUAACGACUUGCACAAGGAAGACAUAGCUCAUUCAUCAUAGAGAGACGAUCCAUGGGACAAGACAAAGAGUGCCAUAGACCCGAUGCACAACCGCUAAGAAAGGAAAGCUUCUACAAGGUGAUACUAUCACUCUUCAAGUAAGGUAACAUUUUAAGGUACUUGACUAUCACUUUUAUAAGCUUCUCCUUGGUUCUAGCAUUCACAUAAAUAAAGAGACAAACAUGUAUGAUUUGUAGCUUCAAAUUAACCAACCCAACUGAUUCAGCAUGUUUAGUCCUUUACUCUGUGAUCCCAAGCUCCUAAUCAUAUAAGCUAAUAUGUUGCACAUUCAAUCUUUGGAAGAUAUAAACAAAAAAUAUAUAUAUAUAGAUUAUCUUUCCAUUAGGUUAAGCCAUCUGAUCUAACAAAUGUUUUAAAUGCUACACUCAUGGUCCAUCAACUUUGUCUUGCUCACUAUGCUUAAGGUUAGAGAAGAACAAAUACACUUUUGGUUCUGUUGGUGUUUUCGACCAACAGGGCCCAUGCACUUGAUCUCUGCCUUGUCUCUAUGAGCAGGACACAUUUUGAGAAACGUGAUGGCGUUUUACAGGUCCUAGAUUCCAUGAAGUGAAGAACCGGGAUCUACGAGCACAAACACAAUGGAGAUCAGACACUUAGUUUUCCAAAGGAAAUAUUGAAGAACCUCUGUGUCCGAGUUGGUACCUUGUACGCUCCAGCAAACUUCAUGGUGAUAGAGACUGGUACUAAGGAGAGGGCACCCAUCAUCUUAGGGUGGCCAUUCCUAAACACCAGAGCUGUCAUCUACGCUAAUGCUGCCAAGAUCAGUCUCUACAUCAAGGGGAAGAAGGAGACUUUCCUUCAAGAACGAGACUACACAAACUUCAGAGCAAUCCUGACAUGAACCAAGGAAGAGGACCAACAGGAGUAACAAGAACAAGCAAAUGUGGACCAAGUCAGCUGAGAUGGUCACUGCAGCUCAAGGAGGUCAAGAUCGUCGACUCGAGUCACCUUUCUUGAUCAAGAAGGACGACCCUGAUGUUCCAAGCAUUGAGUGCACAAUCAACAGAUACUCUUUUUUGAAGACACUCUAUGACACCGGAUCUGACGUCAACAUAAUGACCGCAGUCACUUAUCAGCUCCUGCAUGGAACCGUGUUCCUACAACCAAGAUACAUUCAGCUCUAGAUGAUUUUUAGGUUAUUAACAUGGGAGAAGACGAGUACAAUCCAGCCACCAUCCUUGGAAGACCGUUCCUCAACACUAUCAAAGCCAUCAUCUAUAUUGGAACCGGAGAAGUCCACAUGCACUUCCCCUCGAAGAAGGUACGCCGCUCUUACUGACCCUAACCAUAUAGUUGAAGACUCUAAGCAGGUCAGGACAAGAAGAAGACAACGCAACCGCAACCAGAGGAGGCAAAUCAUCAAGGAAGGAUGGGUAGACUAUGAAGGAGAAGUGAUAAGGUCUGAAGACAUAUAGCUUGAAUAGAACUGUCCUGAGGAGACCGUAGCACCGAGUCAGGUGUGGAGAGAGAAGAUAGUUAUACACGAAGAGGAGGCGCCGCCGAAACCACCGACUACACCAUCCAACGAAUCCCAGGACGACUGAGAAAACAAAAGGAGUCCCGUUCGGAGGACUUAAAAAAUACCGAACGUCUUGCCAAGAGAUAAACUUGGUAGUUAUCCUUUUCCCUUCAAUUAUUUUGUUUAGUUAAUCAGGUUCAUACUAUCUUGAAAAGAAAAUAAAAAUGUUAAAAAAAUAGUAAGCCCCAUGUGAGUAUGCUCAUGGCAUAAAACUCAUUCACUGUGGUGGCAUAAAAAUAAAAUAAAUAUUCUUUCUGCUCUAUAAAAAUGAAAAUAUAAAAAUAAGAUUAUAAUCCUGCUAAAUAAAUAACAUUUAUUGAGAAGGCUCAACAUGAUAAAGGCUAGAUAUUUAUGCUAACACUUAACCAGUUCCACAAAGCUUUGUUGUCUAUUUGAGCUCCACAGCAUUCAAGGAUCAAAGAAGACUAGCAGACGGAGGACAUCCUAAUCGCUGUCAGGGUGCUGCCGACUUUCAAAUACACCUCCACCACCUGCUAGCUACAUCAGAAGAAAUUACGUCAAAAUCCAGCUUGGGGGAGAGCACCCCCAUUUAUCUAGCUAAGUGUUUCUACUCGCGUUUAUACUUUACUCAAAUAAUAAAAAGAUGCAUAAUCAUGAAAACCCAAAUAAAAAUUUUGUGCUUUUAUAUAUAUCUUUGCUUAGUUUGCUAAAUAAAUAAAUAAAGUUUGCUAUGAACCCUCAUGAUAAACUCUCACAUGGAAAUGAUGAAUAGUUGCUCUGCCAUGACUAGCUCUUAAAAUUGAAAUCUCUCUCAAGUUUAGGUAUAACUGUUAUAAUUUAAACCUACUCUAAACCUAAACUUGUGGGAAGAGUACUUGAUCUAAAGUCUAAGUCGUUAACGGAUAUGAUAUGGGAAGGUUGAGCUGCUGUUUAUCUGUUCCUAGAGAUGCUAGAAUUCUAGAGAAUUUUAUCUUUGAAAAAUCUUUAAAAUAACACAUGAUGAGUUCCUAUAUGAUGAGAGUUUAAAUUCCUACCACAGCCAUAUAUACAUGCUUGCUAGACUUUGAGCCACAUAUUUACUUUUUACUGCUUAUGAGCAUUGAGUGUGGUCAAGCUGUGUAGACCCUUAGGAGCUUGUCAUGUGGUUAAAAUCAAGAUUCACUUGCACGUUCACUCAUACAUGCUACUUCUACUCCGGAAGUACCAUCCACAUAUAUCCACUCAUUUUCAUCUCCAGAACCAAAAAAAAACAUUCUACUCCUAAUCCGGGAGAGAAUAGCCAAAAACAUUUUUCUAUCCUUGUUAUUCCCUGUGAUAUAAAUGCUCCAGUUAUUUUGGUUACUACCACUUGCUAUAUUAUUUCAGGAGAUGAGUGCUCUAAAAAAAAGAAAAAAAGAAAAAGAGAAAAAAAAAUACGAGGAAAUAAAAAGGGGCAAGUGCCCGGAACCUCGAAAGAAAAGAAAAAGUGAGACGAGAUGUAAAAAUGGACAAGUGUCCGACAGUAGAAUUAGGGUUACAAGAUACCCACCUGAGAGGAAAGAAAAAGAAAAAAUAGAGCAUCUCAUUCUCCUCUAAAAGCUUCAAAGUGCAAGAAAUGUAUGUAUCCCCUCAAAAGAGCAAAAGUAGAAUUAGACUUUCACCAUUGUUAUCACCAUCAUCACCAUACACUAUUCACUCGCCACACAUGCACAUCUUGAUUUGACUUAUUGACUUGUUUCUCUGGAUCCAUGGUUUGACUAUGCAAUAAAUGUCUUGUAAGUAUGUAUUAGCUGUCUCCCACCUAUGAGCUCCAGAUAUCAAAACCUUAUUAGAGUAGGGUGAGAGAGAAGGCAAUAUCACUAUGCCUCAUACCAAAAAUACCACAUACUUUGAGAGAAGGCAUAUACCAUUACUGCCUUGGUAAGGAUCCAGAAAUACCACAAAAGAGAGACUAGAGAGAGUCAUACAAGAAUCUCUGAGUUUUAUUUGAAAAUCUGCAAAAACUCGAGAGCUAUAGCUGAUCAAGAAUAAGAGACAUGGCGCUUGACUUGACUGUUCUAUCUUUUAACUGCUCAAGACACAGGUGAUGGUUACAAGCCCCAUGGUGAAAGGUAAAAUGAGUAAGUUUUAAAGUCUUAACAGUUUACUCUAACUCAGAGAUGAGAUCUUGCUUGAAUGCGUGUGUACUUUUAAGGCAUGAAACCAUUGCAGAAACUCUUGAGUUCAUCCUUGCUCAGGGACGAGCAAGAGGUAAGCUUGGGGGAGUUGUUGACGGUCCUUAAGUACCAAAUAUAAUCAUCAAAUAAAUAAAGAAAAGGAUCCAAAUGCAACCAACACCCAGACUUAGGGUUUUAUCUGACAGAAUUCCACGAGUUUUGGUGUUUGUCUAUUUCUAUAGGGGGUUAUCAGGAAAUAUGGAAGAAAGGCCCACAUGUUGGGAUUACAUAGAGAUAUCUAUGCACCACGCAAUUUUCUGCCAUCUAGAAGACUCCAGAAGCCACGGGAAGAAAGCAGAGGCCGAAAGGGGCCUGGCCCAGGGCGCCCGCCCCCCUUUGGACUCCGUUCAGGACUCUCUUCGCACACGACGUUCCACCGACCUAAUAGAUCAAAGAUAAUGUAGUACCACCUCGCCUACCAACCCAAAAACGCAUAGAGGAGGAGGAAUAUAUAAGGAGACCCCCCUGGCCCCUGGAGAAGACAAGAAGUUAUCAUAGAUAUUGAUGGGUGCCCUCGAAGGAAAACCUCUUCUCUAAAUAAUAUUUCUUUUUAGGCUUAGCAACCAAUGUAAAGUAGAAAUAGAUCUGUUGAUGCAAAACUGAUCUGCAAACACAAAGGGCUAAUACCCGAUUCAAACGUUAAGGCGUGCCAGCCGAUUUGACCUUGCUAUCGGCAAAGGUGAUAACUCGAAUACUUUAGUCCUGACAACAGCGAUACGCCCGGAUGUCACGGCUAAGAGGUACUCACGCGGAACUCGAGAACACGCUGAGCUUAAGUCGACGAAUUCCUAAGAACUCGUAAUAAAAAGAAAAAAGUAUGACAAAGUCGUCGAAAAGUAGAUGCUGGAAUAUGAGUAAAAACGUGUGUUU